ensembl:lncRNA
GUUUAUUUAUGCAAGUUUGUUCUAAUUUUAGCAUCUAUACAGGUAUAUGUAGUAUCUAUAAAUGUUUUGUUUGCAUUCAUUAUUAAAGGCUUGUACUGUAUGUCCUCUUUUAGUUCCGUUUGUAAAUAGAGGUAGAUGAACACUGCCACCUAAUGGUUGAGUUAGACUACUGUCAAUAAAUACUGUAACCCGUGUAAUCGGUCUUUAUCCAUUAUCAGUACCGUAGGACAUAAAAUAUUAGUAUUGUCCAAGCACAUCUAUGAAACUAUUUUGACAGGUAGGCUAAUAUUUUUUAAAGUAUAUCUGUAUGUAUCCACAUGGUGAUAUUAUAAGUGUAUGUGAUGCUGUGUAUGACAACUUAUUUCAGUUUGAAUGCAGCAUUUGUGAAAAGGAUAUUUAUGUAAUACAUUGUCCUUUAAACCGGUGGUGUCUAACUCAUUUUGCACUUGGGCCGCAUUCGGUCUUCACUGAGGUCCGGAGGGACGCAUUCGGUCUUCACUGAGGUCCGGAGGGCCGCAUUCGGUCUUCACUGAGGUCCGGAGGGACGCAUUCGGUCUUCACUGAGGUCCGGAGGGACGCAUUAAAAAUGUAUUAUUUGCUUGAAGAAAAUAGUCCAGGGACCAUAAAUGCUUGAAUUCCUCGCUGUCUAGCUUUCGUUUCAAUUACUGUUAUCAAGCUGGACAGAGUGAAGAGCCUAUACAUGUACAUCCAUUUUCAUUUCUACAGUUUUGAUUUGGUUUUAG